rnacentral:rRNA from 1 species
UGGGGCAUUUUGGACAAUGGGCGAAAGCCUGAUCCAGCAAUGCCGCGUGUGUGAAGAAGGCCUUCGGGUUGUAAAGCACUUUUGUCCGGAAAGAAAUGGCUCUGGUUAAUACCUGGGGUCGAUGACGGUACCGGAAGAAUAAGGACCGGCUAACUACGUGCCAGCAGCCGCGGUAAUACGUAGGGUCCAAGCGUUAAUCGGAAUUACUGGGCGUAAAGCGUGCGCAGGCGGUUGUGCAAGACCGAUGUGAAAUCCCCGAGCUUAACUUGGGAAUUGCAUUGGUGACUGCACGGCUAGAGUGUGUCAGAGGGGGGUAGAAUUCCACGUGUAGCAGUGAAAUGCGUAGAGAUGUGGAGGAAUACCGAUGGCGAAGGCAGCCCCCUGGGAUAACACUGACGCUCAUGCACGAAAGCGUGGGGAGCAAACAGG